UACGUAGGGUGCAAGCGUUGUCCGGAAUUAUUGGGCGUAAAGAGCUCGUAGGCGGUUUGUCGCGUCUGCUGUGAAAUCCCGAGGCUCAACCUCGGGCCUGCAGUGGGUACGGGCAGACUAGAGUGCGGUAGGGGAGAUUGGAAUUCCUGGUGUAGCGGUGGAAUGCGCAGAUAUCAGGAGGAACACCGAUGGCGAAGGCAGAUCUCUGGGCCGUAACUGACGCUGAGACACGAAAGCCAGGGGAGCAAACGGG
rnacentral:rRNA from 1 species